rnacentral:rRNA from 1 species
CAGCAGCCACGGUAAUACGUAGGGUGCAAGCGUUAAUCGGAAUUACUGGGCGUAAAGGGCGCGUAGGCGGAUUGUUUAGUUAGGCGUGAAAUUCCUGGGCUUAACCUGGGGACUGCGCUUGAUACAGGCAGUCUAGAGUGAGGAAGAGGGUUGUGGAAUUCCCAGUGUAGAGGUGAAAUUCGUAGAUAUUGGGAAGAACACCGGUGGCGAAGGCGGCAACCUGGUCCUUGACUGACGCUGAGGCGCGAAAGCGUGGGGAGCAAACAGGAUUAGAUACCCGAGUAGUCCCUGUCUCUUAUAC